CUCUCUCUCUCUCAUUAUUUCAGGUCAUUAGAUUCACGCAUUACAGUUAACUGUUUUUAGUGGUGUCAUGGUUAUAUUGGGAAAAGGUGAAACUUUGCUUUCCUUUGGAAGUUUAGUUACAGCAGGAGCGUGCAUUCUAUAUAUUGAAAAGUUUAAAUACCCACCACUACAAUAUCUUCAUAAGAAUCUUUUUUCUACAGUUAGCACAAAGAAGAUGCUUCUGGCCUACUACAUGAACUCGUUCUUGCUGACUUUAUCCUCUGUUUAUUUGCUCCGCGAGGUUCUUUGUUGGUUCGUGGGACUUCUGUGUCGUUAACCAACAAGGCGUUGUUAUCAUUACUUCCUCUCCCCUCGCUGGCUCGUCAUCUGCUUGCUAUCAAGGUUUGUGCUUCCUGUUUGACCUUUGUCUUCUCAUACUGCUGUAGUACUACCAAGGCACGGUUGAUCUUCUAUGGUCUUCGAGGCAUGACUUUAACCACUGAUACAUACACAACUAGAUGGAUUGGGCGUUUAUGGAUCUCAUCAUUGUAUUUAUCUUACAAAAUGCGUGAAUCUAACUAAUUACAAGUGAAAACAUUUCUUGCCAUCGAAACGGAAUGGUAGUUUCCCCUUCAUUGCGAUAAUUAAUUUACAUCUGCAUUAUAGUAAGCUCGAACGCGAUUAAGUGUCAUCAGAAAUGAGCAUGGAUUAGUUUAUGAAUAAGAAAGCUUUCUUACUCCAGUGGGGCUUAGUGUCGCAGCAAUAUCUCGGUUUUGCUUCUCCGCAAGAACUCUAACUAUAUGUAAUAGUGCUAUAACUUUCAGCAUCGCAUAAAGUACAUCAAAAGUUAUCCUCAAUCACCACUACUAUUCUAAUUUUCAUUGCAGCUUUGUGAAAUAAGUUUUGUCAUCUCACUGAAUGUUAAAAACAAUCAGGGUACCUUAAGUAAAAGCAUAGAACUGCCAAAGAAGCACAGUCCUUUCAAAGUAAAACACUCACUGUUUUGAUUCAGCAGGAUUGGUUUUCAGAUAAUAUAGGAGAGUGGAUGGUUUUAUUCUUCGGUUUUGAAUGUCAUAACAUAAGGAGAGUAGCCUAUUGUAAAUUUUGCAUACUGAUCCAGAGUCAUCAAUCCUUUUGAAGGUGAUUCCAUCGUAAUCUUGGUUAAGUGUGUUCACUUUGCAGCAAUGUCAGCAUGGGAUCACAAUCACUUGAUUGAACAUAUAAAUCCAGCUAGAGUACCCGCCAUUCCAGUGUCCUUAGUGUCUCAAAUUCAUCCUGCCCGCUCGAUUCGCCUCGCUGGCCCUGGUAAAAGUACUUUUCGUUGACCUGGUAAAGAUCCAGUCGCUCAUUAUUUUGUAUGCCGCGUAUUGGGGCUAGGAGCAACUGAUGAGUGGGCCAGGCUUGCGCGCGGGCCAGCCUCGCAGCGACGCGGUCGGGGCGUGCUUCUGUCGAUGAAAAGCAGGGCCGGAUCGCUCGUGGGCUGCGGCCAAUCGAUCGUGGGGUUGUCAGGGCGUUUUUUACCGUGUUCGUUUGCACCCAGCAGCGGCGCCUCCACUUCAACCGCGUCUGGCCCCAUCUGUCGGUAUCGUGGGUGCGCGGCGGUUUGGUCGUCCUUGGUCAUGUGAGCACCUCCGCUCGGUUCGCUGGGUAAAACAGGGUUUUCGGUCUCUACAUGUGGCUACGCGGGAUUGCUUGGCCUCGUCUCGCUGCAGGUGGUCCCUUUCUAUCCUUGGUCCCACGCGUCGGGCGAGUUGUGUUUCUCUUCAGGUUUCCCUAGAAGUUACAGCGCCCACGAGAGGCAUUUCUGACCGGGUGCGUGGUUUCCUUCUGCUCUUCUCUGCCUCUGUGGCUCGCCUCUCAGCCCACUUCCCCUCGCCUGUGCCUCCUUGUCUUGCUCUCAUCCAGUCGCCAUUGUCGCUCGUCGUAGUUGGUCAUUGAUAACCAGCGGCUUGCUCAUUGCCUGCUUAUCCUGUCGUCGGCUUGUUUCGUCAUGGCUCCUCGCGCUGCUGCUGUUGCGUUUGGCUAGGGAGAGUUUCUUGUUUUGUUUGGUCAAUUCCUUCUGGCCUCAUUGUAGAUUGAUCUGUACUGACUUGUUCUUGUCUGUUCCCUCUCCUUUCUUCUUGUUUGCAGGGCUGCUGCGUCUGCUUUGUUGUCUGCCUGCGCGUUUGCUUGUUCUUUCUUUGUGAGGUGAGGUUUUGCGUGCUCCCCUGCUUCUCAUCUGCUCGAUGAAAUGCGUGACUGGGUUUUUGCCGGUCUGAGAUCGUUCCUUUGUUUUCCUAGACAUGGAUGAGGGUUUGCCAUGUUAGAUCUGUUGUGCGAUGCUUCUAGGAGAUGAUUUUACAUAUGUUUCUAUGCUUUGGUUGCUGUGGUUCCUACACCUAGGGAUUGGCUCUGUUAGUUUAAGUCUGUUUUAGUUGCGUUCUUGCCUUCGUCUCGGUUAUGGUUAUGCCUAGGUUUGCAUGGCCAUGGGGUCUGU